AUUGGUCAGCCUGGCUGUCAAUCAGAGCAUCGAGCAGGCGGAGCUUCGAGGACGGAAGAGCCAAACUUUCCUUUGGCUGAGGAAGAGGGAGAAGGUGAAGCCCCACAGCCUUCGGGCCAGGGCACCUGCAUGGAAAUGGUCUGCGACAUUAACCAUCCCAUGACUGUGGCUCAGGUGGUAGAGAGAUUUUUCUAGGAUGCACGAGUUCCUGGGUUCGAUCCCCAGCACCACACGAAGACCAAGAUCACAGAUACAGACUGAGUUGGAGACCAGCCUGGGAUAUGAGAUUCCGGAUACCUGCCUGAGAGCAAUUAACAUUCAUUCCUCCCCCACCUCCUUUUUCUCUGCUUCCUCCUUUCUCUAUAAAAACCCCUUGUAAUAAUCAAUAAAUGGGCCUUGACAAGAAAACCUGCUUGGUCCCGCUCUUUCUUUCCCGCCCAUCAUUUUCAGGCGUGAUCCACCUCGGACUCAGGAAUUACCGGAGCCCCGAGGGCCGGGGUACACCCUGACCCUGAAACCAGUGCCAGAGAAACACACUUUGGCCCUGGAAUCAGAGCCAGUGAAAGAAAUACACCCUGGCUCUAAAAUCACAGUCAAAAGGCUAAAAAGGACCAGUGAAAGGAACACACUUUGGCCCUGAAACCAGAGCCAAAUCUAACCCUAAACCUGUGCAGAAAACCAACCAAUCCCUGAGCAGGAGAUCUAGCCAUUCUGAGCUCAGGGAUUGAAAUCUGACCAAUCCCCACCCUGGAAAUCUCCCUGGGAAAACUCUGCCCCCCCCCUAAGAAUCCCUAUAUAAACCCUGUGCCUGUUCAGCUUCAGGCUGCCUGGCUGCCCUCUGCCACUGGAUUCUUGAAUGAGGUUUGGGUAAGAACUUUCGCCGGAGCAGAGACCACCCUACACACUGGCUCUCCAGGGGACUGGAGUUGAACUGUUACAAUUUAACCAGGGAAACCCUCUCCUCCCCAAGCAGAGCUGAU
rnacentral:lncRNA from 1 species